rnacentral:rRNA from 1 species
UCGACCGCCUGGGGAGUACGGCCGCAAGGUUAAAACUCAAAUGAAUUGACGGGGGCCCGCACAAGCGGUGGAGCAUGUGGUUUAAUUCGAUGCAACGCGAAGAACCUUACCUGGCCUUGACAUCCAGAGAACUUAUCAGAGAUGCUUUGGUGCCUUCGGGAACUCUGAGACAGGUGCUGCAGGCUGUCGUCAGCUCGUGUUGUGAAAUGUUGGGUUAAGUCCCGCAACGAGCGCAACCCUUAUCCUUUGUUGCCAGCGGCUCGGCCGGGAACUCAAAGGAGACUGCCGGUGAUAAACCGGAGGAAGGUGGGGAUGACGACAAGUCAUCAUGGCC